rnacentral:rRNA from 1 species
UACGGGGGGAGCAAGCGUUGUUCGGAUUUACUGGGCGUAAAGGGCGCGUAGGCGGCCACCGCAAGUCGACUGUGAAAUCUCCGGGCUUAACCCGGAAAGGUCAGCCGAUACUGCGGGGCUGGAGUGCAGAAGGGGCAACUGGAAUUCUCGGUGUAGCGGUGAAAUGCGUAGAUAUCGAGAGGAACACCUGCGGCGAAGGCGGGUUGCUGGGCUGACACUGACGCUGAGGCGCGAAAGCUAGGGGAGCGAACGGG